AGUAGGGCCUGCCCACUGAAUUUUUAAAGGGCCGCAGUAUUUUAACUGUGCAAAGGUAGCAUAAUCAUUAGUUUUUUAAUUGAAAGCUGGUAUGAAUGGUUUGAUGAAAAAGUUUCUGUUUCAAUAUAAAUUUUUUAAAAUUUUAUUUUUAAGUUAAAAAGCUUAAAUAAAUGUAAAAGACGAGAAGACCCUAUAGAGUUUUAUUUAUUUAUAUUUUUUUUUUAGUAAGAAUUUAUUUUUAAGAAGGGUAUAAUUAAUUUGAUUGGGGUGAUUAAAAAAUAUAUAAAACUUUUUUUAAAUUUAUACAUUUAUUUAUGAUUGUUUGAUCCAUUUAUAUGAUUAAAAAAAU
rnacentral:rRNA from 1 species